GGAUCAUUAGUGAAGAUUUGGGCCAGCCAUACGGACGCUACCGCGUCUCUGGCGCCCACCACUAUAUCCACACCAACCCCUGUGCACUGUGAUGGCGAAAGUCAUCGAACCAAAAAAACUCGUAUGGUUGUAUGUACGUGAAACUGUAGGCUUUGCCUACGAACUAUACACAACUUUCGACAACGGAUCUCUUGGUUCUCCCAUCGAUGAAGAACGCAGCGAAACGCGAUAGGUAAUGUGAAUUGCAGAAUUCCGUGAAUCAUCGAGUCUUUGAACGCACCUUGCGCUCCAUGGUAUUCCGUGGAGCAUGCCUGUUUGAGUGCCGCGAAUUCUCCCUCCCCAUACGGUGGCCGAAAGGCCGGAGUAUGGCGGACGGGGUUGGAUGGGUGCCGCUGCCUGGGAAACCAGGCUCGCCCGAAAUGCAUAAGCGCCAGGACCCUCGCUACUGCCCUCUAGGGAAGGGCGGCUGAGCGACCGCUGAGCAUGGCAUGAUACGUCAUUUGCUGUGUGUGGGCGGCCGGUUGGAGAGGUGUCUGCUUUAUACAGCCCUUUUUAUUCUGGUCUCAAAUCAGGUAGGAUCACCCGCUGAACUUAAGCAUAUCAU
rnacentral:sRNA from 1 species